UCCCUGGUAGUCGAGUGGUUAAGACUCCGUGCUUCCACUGCAGAGGGUGUGGGUCUGAUCCCUAGCCAGGGAA
rnacentral:tRNA from 1 species